rnacentral:rRNA from 1 species
CACGUGGGUAAUCUACCUCUUAGAGUGGAAUAACCCUGGGAAACCGGGGCUAAUACCGCAUAAGCCUGAGAAGGGAAAGUCGCAAGACGCUGAGAGAGGAGCCCGCGGCCGAUUAGCUAGUUGGGAGGGUAAAAGCCUACCAAGGCAAAGAUCGGUAGCCGGCCUGAGAGGGCACACGGCCACACUGGCACUGAAACAUGGGCCAGACUCCUACGGGAGGCAGCAGUGGGGAAUCUUGCACAAUGGGGGAAACCCUGAUGCAGCGACGCCGCGUGAGCGAUGAAGCCCUUCGGGGUGUAAAGCUCUUUCGUCAGGGAAGAUAAUGACGGUACCUGGAGAAGCAGCUGCGGCUAACUACGUGCCAGCAGCCGCGGUAAUACGUAGGCAGCGAGCGUUGUUCGGAGUUACUGGGCGUAAAGGGUGUGUAGGCGGUUGUUUAAGUUUGGUGUGAAAUCUCC